CCUACGAGAGGCAGCAGUGGGGGAUAUUGCACAAUGGGGGAAACCCUGAUGCAGCGACGCCGCGUGAGUGAAGAAGUAUUUCGGUAUGUAAAGCUCUAUCAGCAGGGAAGACAAAAGACGGUACCUGACUAAGAAGCCCCGGCUAACUACGUGCCAGCAGCCGCGGUAAUACGUAGGGGGCAAGCGUUAACCGGAUUUACUGGGUGUAAAGGGAGCGUAGACGGCAAUACAAGUCGGAAGUGAAAUACCACGGCUCAACCUGGGAACUGCUUUGGAAACUGGAUGGCUGGAGUGCUGGAGAGGUAGGCGGAAUUCCUAGUGUAGCGGUGAAAUGCGUAGAUAUUAGGAGGAACACCAGUGGCGAAGGCGGCUUACUGUACAGUAACUGACGUUGAGGCUCGAAAGCGUGGGGAGCAAACAGGAUUAGAUACCCUAGUAGUC
rnacentral:rRNA from 1 species